GCUGGCGGCAUGCUUAACACAUGCAAGUCGAACGGAAACGAUGAAGAGCUUGCUCUUCAGGCGUCGAGUGGCGGACGGGUGAGUAAUGCAUAGGAAUCUGCCCAGUAGCGGGGGACAACUCGAAGAAAUUCGAGCUAAUACCGCAUACGCCCUACGGGGGAAAGCAGGGGAUCUUCGGACCUUGCACUAUUGGAUGAGCCUAUGUCAGAUUAGCUUGUUGGUGGGGUAACGGCCUACCAAGGCGACGAUCUGUAGCUGGUCUGAGAGGACGAUCAGCCACACUGGGACUGAGACACGGCCCAGACUCCUACGGGAGGCAGCAGUGGGGAAUAUUGCACAAUGGGCGAAAGCCUGAUGCAGCAAUGCCGCGUGUGUGAAGAAGGCCUGCGGGUUGUAAAGCACUUUCAGUAGGGAGGAAAAGCAACAGGUUAAUACCCUGGUGUCUUGACGUUACCUACAGAAGAAGCACCGGCUAACUCUGUGCCAGCAGCCGCGGUAAUACAGAGGGUGCAAGCGUUAAUCGGAAUUACUGGGCGUAAAGCGCGCGUAGGCGGCUUGGUCAGUCGGAUGUGAAAGCCCCGGGCUUAACCUGGGAAUUGCAUUCGAUACUGCUAAGCUAGAGUGUAGUAGA
rnacentral:rRNA from 1 species